rnacentral:rRNA from 1 species
AACGAACGCUGGCGGCAUGCCUAACACAUGCAAGUCGAACGAGACCUUCGGGUCUAGUGGCGCACGGGUGCGUAACGCGUGGGAUCCUGCCCUUAGGUUCGGAAUAACUCCCCGAAAGGGGUGCUAAUACCGGAUAAUGUCUUCGGACCAAAGAUUUAUCGCCUUUGGAUGGGCCCGCGUUGGGUUAGCUAGUUGGUAGGGUAAAAGCCUACCAAGGCGACGAUCCAUAGCUGGUCUGAGAGGAUGAUCAGCCACACUGGGACUGAGACACGGCCCAGACUCCUACGGGAGGCAGCAGUGGGGAAUAUUGGACAAUGGGCGAAAGCCUGAUCCAGCAAUGCCGCGUGAGUGAUGAAGGCCCUAGGGUUGUAAAGCUCUUUUACCCGGGAUGAUAAUGACAGUACCGGGAGAAUAAGCUCCGGCUAACUCCGUG